UCCUAUUUAACAUUUGUACAUCUUGACAUAUGAAGUUAAUAAGUAUCUGAAGUUCACUACAGCUCAUUUCGCUUUUAAGUAUUAUAUGUCAUUUUAUUUAAGCUUAGUUCACAUAUAUUUAGGCUUGCUUUUGGCAAGUACUUGAUGCACCUUUGUACCUUUUUUGGUAGGGAGGAGAUAAGGUUAAAAAAGGCCGGGAAACUGACGAAUGGAAUUAAGGGAAAAAUAUUACAAAUGCACAAGUUGUCGUGAAUCCAUAAUCGCAAUGCUCAAACCAAGGUGUAAAGCAAAUGAAAAAUUGUUUUCAUUUUUAUGAUACCUAGAUAUGGCAUGAUUCAAAUGGAUGUUUAUAGGCAAUAUCAACAACUGCGGCUUUAAAUACCAUUUGUACCAGGUUGAAUUGGGUCAGGAACAUGGAUUACAUGAUGAUCUUCAGCUCUCAAUUUUUUGUUUUUUGUUGAACUCCGGAUCAUUUGGAUUGAUAUUUGCGUCUUCCAAGAAAAUACAACUCAGGAACUCUUCUUGCGUGAUAUUCAGGAUUGAUACUCAUUUGGGGUCGAGA